GACGAAGGUGGCGACCGUUGUUCGGAAUCACUGGGCAUAAAGAGCACGUAGGCGGAUGCGUAAGUCGGGUGUGAAAUCCCUCGGCCUAACCGAGGAAUCGCGCCCGAUACUGUGUGUCUUGAGGGCAGGAGGGGAGCGUGGAAUUCCUGGUGGAGCGGUGAAAUGCGUUGAUAUCAGGAGGAACACCGGCGGCGAAGGCGACGCUCUGGCCUGCUUCUGACGCUGAGGUGCGAAAGCCAGGGGAGCAAACGGG
rnacentral:rRNA from 1 species